GAUGUACACAUUACCACAUGAAAGCAGCAGUUUAUAAACAGCACAACACCAUACAGCACAAAUUAUAUAUUUGCCACGUGUUAUUAAACUUACAUCAUUAAAGUACAUUAGAAUUGGUGCUAAGGCUGGUGCACAAUAUAUGCAUAUACUUUAAACAAUCAUAAAUAAUGCAGGAGCUUGGAAUAUGAUUGACUAUUCUCGGAACUGCUUUGAUAAUACAAAAGUCAAGGCUUUGUUUUUGGCAUCACCCACUCCAAUUCGUUUUCUUUCUUUUUCCAAUUGAAGCAUUGGCAAGGUUUGUGCCAUGCGCUUCGACUGUGAUUCUUCCUUGUUCGCGCACGGCCAUGAUCAUAAUAACGCAGUGGUCCCUGCCUACUUUUUCAUAUACUUUACCGCAAUACAUUACGUAUGCUUCACCGCAUAACAUGACUGUAUUGCGGCAAAGCUAAUUUUAUGGAACUGACAUUAUGUAACGGAUCUUUUGUCCUUCUGCUGCUUGCAUGAGCAUAAGCUCGAAAAACCACAAAAUACAGACUUGGUUGCUGCUGGUUGAUUUCUAGUUAACAUUUCGAGACGUCCACGUUGUUUACAAAAAAUUCAGUGAAGUUUCUCGCGCUCGGACGCGAUUCAAAAGGCAGUGUGACCACCUAUAAUUAAGGCAGUCAUAAGCGCCAACGAAAUCCACACAAGGUACAUCAACUUCCACAAAGCUUCUGCGCAACGCCAUCAAUAACUGGCACAGGGGCCACCCAGGAGCUGGCAAACGCUGCGAUGACAUCCACACAAACCACGUCGCUUUCCACAAAGCUAUUGGGCAACACGAUCAGUCACAGGCACAGGUGAAGUCCGCAAAACACUACAUGGGCAGAACUACUACGGCCAUACUCAAUGACUUCGCCACAAGCUCUCACAUUUAACGACAUUAAACAGCUACAAUCACUUCUCCACAGCCACGGACACAAGCGAAGACCGCACCAUACCGCACGGGCAGAACGGAAGCACCGAUUCGCGUUCAUCGCUUUAGCGCCACCUAUUUAAAAAUAAUAUACGGAGCCAAGCCAAACCAUUAUUUAGCGUCUAUUUGGGUGAACCCACGGAGGAAGGAGUGGGUGAACCUAACGCUUUUUAAGCGUUCGAACGACCAGGGCACUAUAACGCUUACCCCCACUUUCCACUCCGUCGACCGGGUCGCAGGAACGGCGGCCUUUGCUAAAACUAGCUUAUUGCGCAUUGAUGUCUCGCGUUAUUUAACCUGGGUUGAAGUGACGUGUUUGGAAGCGGACAUGUAAGCCCGAAAGUUGGGUAUCGGUCGUGAGCCAUUCGGAACACGUCUGCAUCGAAACGGGCGCUGGAUUCUGGUGCAGCUGACAACGGCAAUAACGACAUGCAGUAGUGAGGAUGGCACCAGUAUAAAGCAACACACUCCACACACUAAACAGAAGCUGCUGCCUGCUACAACAAGGCCAUUGUGUGGACAUUGGCUGCUACUACAAGAGUCCAUGCCAAGCAUAUCUUGGUCAUCACAGGAGCUCCUAUCCACACCAACAGAAAGGGGCUGGAGCCGAAUUUGCAAGGCUUUUACACCACGAACAAAGAAGCGCAUGCAGAAGAAUUUGCAUGAGUUAUCAAGUCUGCAGAGCACUGUGUCAAGACUGAAAAGAGCUUCAGCCACCAUUCCACCAGCACGGACAAAUUGGCUGAGUCAUCCAGGUAACUCAAACAGGACUUUAUAGAAAUUCUUCGUGUUCAGAUGCACCUGCAACUUCUGAUCAAGCACGGACGACGCUGGCCAAAAGAGUUCAGUCAGUUUGCCCUUAAUCAGCUUCCUGGCCAUGUCAAUUCCAUUUGUGCCAAGUGUAAUUUUUCUUCUAUAAAUGCAAGCUUUUUCAUUGCCCA